CGCUAGCUACAGGCUUAACACAUGCAAGUCAGGGGCAGCAUGAUCAAAGCUUGCUUGAUUGAUGGCGACCGGCGCACGGUGAGUAACGCGUAUCCAACCUUCCCUAUAGUAGUGGAUAGCCCGGCGAAAGUCGGAUUAAUACACUAUGUUGUAUUUAGAGGACAUCUGAAGAAUACCAAAGGCUUGCCGCUAUAGGAUGGGGAUGCGUCUGAUUAGAUAGUAGGCGGGUAACGGCCCACCUAGUCGACGAUCAGUAGGGGUUCUGAGAGGAAGGUCCCCCACAUUGGAACUGAGACACGGUCCAAACUCCUACGGGAGGCAGCAGUGAGGAAUAUUGGUCAAUGGACGGGAGUCUGAACCAGCCAAGUAGCGUGCAGGAUGACGGCCCUAUGGGUUGUAAACUGCUUUUAUACGGGGAUAAAGUGAGCCACGUGUGGCUUUUUGUAGGUACCGUAUGAAUAAGGACCGGCUAAUUCCGUGCCAGCAGCAGC
rnacentral:rRNA from 1 species